UUCGUUAGUGUUUUGAAGUCGAAUAUGACUUGAUGUGAUGUGUAUGAUUGAGUAUAAGAACUUAAACCGCAACCGGAUCUUAAAACCCUAAGUAGUGUUUCCUUGUUCGAAGAUACAAAGCCAAAGCCUCAUACGUACUUUAGCUACACCAUCAAAGCUUUGAGAAGCAAGAAGAAGUUUGGUUGG
rnacentral:sRNA from 1 species